rnacentral:rRNA from 1 species
AUUGAACGCUGGCGGCAUGCCUAACACAUGCAAGUCGAACGAGUGGCGGACGGGUGAGUAAUGUCUGGGAAACUGCCCGAUGGAGGGGGAUAACUACUGGAAACGGUAGCUAAUACCGCAUACCAUCGGAUGUGCCCAGGUGGGAUUAGCUAGUAGGUGGGGUAACGGCUCACCAAGGCGACGAGCCCUAGCUGGUCUGAGAGGAUGACCAGCCACACUGGGACUGAGACACGGUCCAGACUCCUACGGGAGGCAGCAGUGGGGAAUAUUGCACAAUGGGCGAAAGCCUGAUGCAGCCAUGCCGCGUGUAUGAAGAAGGCCUUCGGGUUGUAAAGUACUUUCGGCAGAGAGGCGUUACUUGCAGAAGAAGCACCGGCUAACUCCGUGCCAGCAGCCGCGGUAAUAC